ACUCAGUUCGCAUAGACUGCAGUAUACGAACCACCAUCAGGGGAAGCGGUAAUCUCCCGACCGGGAUCCGUGAAAGGCUCCAAACUCCCGAACAGAAAUCCACGAACUGCUGCUAGCCGCCGAACAACGAUAUCCACCAAGCGGCUUUCGGUUCCAAUCAGCAGUCUCUAAGCGCAAAUAAGAAAUCCCACCCAUAACGAGACAGAAG